UUAUUGGAGAGUUUGAUCCUGGCUCAGGACGAACGCUGGCGGCGUGCCUAAUACAUGCAAGUCGAGCGAACCAAUGGGAGCUUGCUCCCUGAGGUUAGCGGCGGACGGGUGAGUAACACGUGGGUAACCUGCCUGUAAGAUUGGGAUAACUCCGGGAAACCGGAGCUAAUACCGGAUAACAUUUUGAACCGCAUGGUUCAAAGUUGAAAGACGGCUUUUAGCUGUCACUUACAGAUGGACCCGCGGCGCAUUAGCUAGUUGGUGAGGUAAUGGCUCACCAAGGCGACGAUGCGUAGCCGACCUGAGAGGGUGAUCGGCCACACUGGGACUGAGACACGGCCCAGACU
rnacentral:rRNA from 1 species